rnacentral:rRNA from 1 species
AUAUUCCCGUACCCGUGUCAGAUCGCCCCUGAUGAAUCAGUUGUACUAACCGUCCUGAAGCCGCGAGAUCACCUUCGGGUGACGAGCUGGUGGAUGCACGGGACCUCGGCUGGUAGUAGUCAAGCGAUGGGGUGACGCAGGAAGGUAGUGGGGCCAGUCAGUGGUUGUACUGGUGUAAGCCUGUAGGGCGAGAUCUAGGCAAAUCCGGAUCUCAUAUAAGCCUGAGAGGUGAUGCGUAGCCGUUGCGGCGAAUUCCAUGAUCCUAUGCUGCCGAGAAAAGCCUCUAGCGAGAUCUGAUGUGGCCCGUACCCCAAACCAACACAGGUGGUCAGGUAGAGAAUACCAAGGAGAUCGAGAGAACUGUGGUUAAGGAACUCGGCAAAAUGCCCCCGUAACUUCGGGAGAAGGGGGACCUCGUCUGGUGAUGAUCUUUACGGUCGGAGCUGGGUGGGGUCGCAGAGACCAGAGAGAAGCGACUGUUUACUAAAAACACAGGUCCAUGCGAAGUCGUAAGACGAUGUAUAUGGACUGACGCCUGCCCGGUGCUGGAAGGUUAAGAGGACCGGUUAGCCGUAAGGCGAAGCUGAGAAUUUAAGCCCCAGUAAACGGCGGUGGUAACUAUAACCAUCCUAAGGUAGCGAAAUUCCUUGUCGGGUAAGUUCCGACCUGCACGAAUGGCGUAACGACUUCUCUGCUGUCUCAACCACAGACUCGGCGAAAUUGCAGUACGAGUAAAGAUGCUCGUUACGCGCGGCAGGACGAAAAGACCCCGGGACCUUCACUAUAGCUUGGUAUUGGUGUUCGGUUCGGUUUGUGUAGGAUAGGUGGGAGACUGUGAAGCGGGCACGCCAGUGUUCGUGGAGUCGUUGUUGAAAUACCACUCUGAUCGUAUUGGAUACCUCAACCUCGGACCAUGAUCUGGUUCAGGGACAGUGCCUGGUGGGUAGUUUAACUGGGGCGGUUGCCUCCCAAAAUGUAACGGAGGCGCCCAAAGGUUCCCUCAGCCUGGUUGGCAAUCAGGUGUUGAGUGCAAGUGCACAAGGGAGCUUGACUGUGAGACUGACAGGUCGAGCAGGGACGAAAGUCGGGACUAGUGAUCCGGCACCGGCAAGUGGAAGCGGUGUCGCUCAACGGAUAAAAGGUACCCCGGGGAUAACAGGCUGAUCUUCCCCAAGAGUCCAUAUCGACGGGAUGGUUUGGCACCUCGAUGUCGGCUCGUCGCAUCCUGGGGCUGGAGUAGGUCCCAAGGGUUGGGCUGUUCGCCCAUUAAAGCGGCACGCGAGCUGGGUUUAGAACGUCGUGAGACAGUUCGGUCUCUAUCCGCCGCGCGCGUUAGAAUCUUGAGGAAGGCUGUCCCUAGUACGAGAGGACCGGGACGGACGAACCUCUGGUGUGCCAGUUGUUCCACCAGGAGCACGGCUGGUUGGCUACGUUCGGAAGGGAUAACCGCUGAAAGCAUCUAAGCGGGAAGCCUGUUCCAAGAUUAGGAUUCUCACCACCUUGAGUGGGUAAGACCCCCUACAGACUAUGGGGUUGAUAGGCCAGAACUGGAAGCGCAGUAAUGCGUGUAGGUGACUGGUACUAAUCGGUCGAGGGCUUACCACACA